GACGAACGCUGGCGGCGUGCUUAACACAUGCAAGUCGAACGGAGAUAUAUAAAUAGUUUACUAUGGAUAUAUUUUAGUGGCGGACGGGUGAGUAACACGUGGGCAACCUGCCUUAGAGUGGGGGAUAACAACGAGAAAUCGUUGCUAAUACCGCAUGAAAUUAGAUUAUCGCAUGAUAGUUUAAUGAAAGGAGAAAUCCGCUAAAAGAUGGGCCCGCGCCUGAUUAGCUAGUUGGUGAGGUAAAAGCUCACCAAGGCGACGAUCAGUAGCCGAUCUGAGAGGAUGACCGGCCACACUGGAACUGAGACACGGUCCAGACUCCUACGGGAGGCAGCAGUGGGGAAUAUUGCACAAUGGGGGAAACCCUGAUGCAGCAACGCCGCGUGGAGGAAGAAGGUUUUCGGAUUGUAAACUCCUGUCUUUUGGGACGAUAAUGACGGUACCAAAAGAGGAAGCCACGGCUAACUACGUG
rnacentral:rRNA from 1 species